rnacentral:lncRNA from 1 species
UGGUAUACAUUUUGCAUGCAGUGUGUCGUUGAGUGUUGACUCGUAGAUGAAAUUAUAACUAUAGUUGGUUGACAUCUAUCUACGCAUGUAUAGAAACUUAAAGAAAGAAAAGGUGUGAAAAAGAAUUAUUCCAUCUUGAUGGAAAAUUAUAAUGAUGGAAACAUGUGUUUCUGGUUUAUUAAGUUUUUCAAGAAUGGUGUUCGUCAGUGUUUAGGUCUGGAGGCUGAACCUUCGCCUGCUGGGACAUCUGAUGGUUCAAAGUCAUCAGCUCAUAUAGAAGGUGAAGAAGAAGAAGCAUUGGAUGUAAGUUUCUCAGCUGGAACUGAUUAUACUAUGCCUGUUGAUACAGAUCAAGAAACGCCAGCUACUGUGAGCUCUCUGCCUUUACCUCUCUAACAUGAUUAGUAAUUUAGAAUUGUACUCUAUCAAUUUGUUUUAAAAAAUGAAUUCGUUUGAUUUUUACCACCCAUUUUUCCAUUAUAUAUUCCGUCUUACUUUGACGUCUUUUUACUGGAGCUUACGACGGUGAAAAUAUUCCGCCGUAAAGUAUUACGACGGAAAGAACAUAGUCGGUCAUAAAUUGUCUUGUUUAAAUAUUUUCCCUUAACCUUAAUUUAAAAAGAAUAAUCAGAAAGUACCCGUAUGUUCUUACGCCGGCGGCAUUUUACUA